UACGUAGGGACCAAGCGUUGUUCGGAUUUACUGGGCGUAAAGGGCGCGUAGGCGGCAAUUCAAGUCAUCUGUGAAAUCUCUGGGCUUAACCUCGAGACGUCGGUGGAAACCAUCCAGCUAGAGUCCGGAAGAGGAGAGUGGAAUUCCUGGUGUAGCGGUGAAAUGCGCAGAUAUCAGGAAGAACACCCGUGGCGAAAGCGGCUCUCUGGGACGGUACUGACGCUGAGACGCGAAAGCGUGGGGAGCGAACAGG
rnacentral:rRNA from 1 species